GAGUGAACGCUGGCGGUAGGCCUAACACAUGCAAGUCGAACGGCAGCACAGUAAGAGCUUGCUCUUACGGGUGGCGAGUGGCGGACGGGUGAGGAAUACAUCGGACUCUACUUUUUCGUGGGGGUUAACGUAGGGAAACUUACGCUAAUACCGCAUACGACCUACGGGUGAAAGCAGGUGAUCUUCGGACCUUGCGCGAUUGAAUGAGCCGAUGUCGGAUUAGCUAGUUGGCGGGGUAAAGGCCCACCAAGGCGACGAUCCGUAGCUGGUCUGCGAGGAUGAUCAGCCACACUGGAACUGAGACACGGUCCAGACUCCUACGGGAGGCAGCAGUGGGGAAUAUUGGACAAUGGGCGCAAGCCUGAUCCAGCCAUACCGCGUGGGUGAAGAAGGCCUUCGGGUUGUAAAGCCCUUUUGUUGGGAAAGAAAAGCAGCAGGUUAAUACCCCGCUGUUCUGACGGUACCCAAAGAAUAAGCACCGGCUAACUUCGUG
rnacentral:rRNA from 1 species